GACGAACGCUGGCGGCGUGCUUAACACAUACAAGUCGAACGGUAAGGCCCUUCGGGGUACACGAGUGGCGAACGGGUGAGUAACACGUGGGUGAUCUGCCCUGCACUUCGGGAUAAGCCUGGGAAACUGGGUCUAAUACCGGAUAGGACCACUGCCUGCAUGGGUGGUGGUGGAAAGCUUUUGCGGUGUGGGAUGGGCCCGCGGCCUAUCAGCUUGUUGGUGGGGUGAUGGCCUACUAAGGCGACGACGGGUAGCCGGCCUGAGAGGGUGACCGGCCACCCUGGGACUGAGAUACGGCCCAGGCUCCUCCGGGAGGCAGCAGUGGGGAAUAUUGCACAAUGGGCGCAAGCCUGAUGCAGCGACGCCGCGUGAGGGAUGACGGCCUUCGGGUUGUAAACCUCUUUCAGCACCGACGAAGCGCAAGUGACGGUAGGUGCAGAAGAAGGACCGGCCAACUACGUGCCAGCCGCCGCCGUAA
rnacentral:rRNA from 1 species